rnacentral:rRNA from 1 species
UACAGAGGGUGCUAGCGUUGUUCGGAAUCAUUGGGCGUAAAGGGCGUGUAGGCGGUUUGUUAAGUCAUGUGUGAAAUCCCUCGGCUCAACCGGGGAACGACGCAUGAAACUGGCAAGCUAGAGUACCAAAGAGGGGGGUGGAAUUCCCGGUGUAGCGGUGAAAUGCGUAGAGAUCGGGAGGAACAUCAGUGGCGAAGGCGGCCAUCUGGGACAACACUGACGCUGAAGCACGAAAGCGUGGGGAGCAAACAGG